UACAGAGACUGCAAGCGUUGUUCGGAAUUACUGGGCGUAAAGGGUGCGUAGGCGGCUUUCUAAGUUGGAUGUGAAAACUAUGGGCUCAACCCAUAGCCUGCAUCCAAAACUGGAGAGCUUGGGUUCUGGAGGGGAGAGCGGAAUUCCUGGUGUAGCGGUGAAAUGCGUAGAUAUCAGGAGGAACACCGGUGGCGAAGGCGGCUCUCUGGACAGACACCGACGCUGAGGCACGAAAGCUAGGGGAGCAAACAGG
rnacentral:rRNA from 1 species